rnacentral:lncRNA from 10 species
GGGUUUUAACUCAUGGUAUGCUGUUUCUGCAGGCCUGUGUUGUCAAGCGAAAACAGAAAAGAGAAGGGAAUUCCACCUUUGCCCACUGAGAACACAUCUAUGCUGAGAACACAUCUACCCAACUCCUCUGUCACAACCCCUGUGAGAAGGUUCUGCCAUCUCCCAGCCCUGAAGAUUGUGAGCUCCCUGAUGGCCCUGGGCCUCCCUCCCGACAGCUGAGGCCCUUCCUGGAUCUCUACACGUCACCAAGCUAAGCCAGUGUUCCAAAAUAGUCUCCUGAACAAUGAUGACAACUGCACAGUUAUUUUGGAAGAACUUCCUGGCAGUGAUGGCAGUGGAACAUUGGAAACAGAGAUGAACAGGAGGUGGGAAGAGGAGGCUAAGUACAUGUAGGCCUAAAAGUCUCUGCCUUGGGAGAUUUUUAACAGUCCUGGAUGGAGGAGAAACAAGAUCUUAUAUUGGACACUGAUUCAUAGCAUAUACAGCCUUCUGA